GUGGAGGCAAGGGUAUCUUGUUGGAGAUCUCUUUGUACCAGAGGUGUUCCAAGGCCAGCAUCAAUAAGGAGCAGGUUUUAGAGGGUGGAGCAUCUGACCUGUCUAAUUUUAUCGAUCCACCACUGCCAGGCCAUGACUUGCUGAGGCAAUGCGGAGUCAAGUGAGAAGAAAGGGAGAGGGACACCGGAGACUUUGAGUCAUACCCUGAGAUUACUGCACAUGACCCAGCCUGCUUCAAGGGAGGUUUGAAGAGUGCACAUGGAGGCAAUAAGUAAAACACUGCCGAGGGAUGAUCAAAUGGCAAUGAACUCGAUUCUCUCCUUAACUGUCUGAAAGGACUCUAUAGUGAGGUCCCUUUUUUUUUUUCUGGUGACAGGUGACAGGACACGAGGACGUGGCAUCAUGUUGUACCAGGGGAGUACAGGUUAGAUGUUAGGGGUUUAGAUUAGAUGUCAGGAAGAGAUUCUUCACAGAAGGGUGGGUAGGUGUUGGAUAGGCUGCCCAGGGAAGUGGUGGAGUUCCCAUCCUUGGAGGUAUUUAAAAGGCGUGUAGGUGUGGUACUUGGGGACAUAGUUCAGUGGUGGACUGGGUAGCAUUAGAUUGUGGUUUGUCUUGAUAAUCUUGAAGGUCUUUUCCAACAUAAAUGAAUUUAUUAUUCUAUUCCAAACUGCAUUAUUCAAUCUAAAGGCAAAUCCUGAGUGUCUAAGUGGCUGUAGAGCACUCUCCCAAGAAAAGAAGUGGAAGAUCCUCUGUGGUUAUA